rnacentral:rRNA from 1 species
GACCCAGACUCCUCGGGAGGCAGCAGUAGGGAAUAUUGCUCAAUGGGGGAAACCCUGAAGCAGCAACGCCGCGUGCAGGAUGAAGGCCUUCGGGUUGUAAACUGCUUUUAUAAGCGAGAAAUAUGAUGGUAACUUAUGAAUAAGGAUCGGCUAACUACGUGCCAGCAGCCGCGGUCAUACGUAGGAUCCGAGCAUUAUCCGGAGUGACUGGGUGUAAAGAGUUGCGUAGGUGGCAUGAUAAGUAGCUAGUGAAAUCUGGUGGCUCAACCAUUCAGACUAUUAGCUAAACUGUUAAGCUCGAGACUGUUAGGGGUAACUGGAAUUUCUAGUGUAGGAGUGAAAUCCGUAGAUAUUAGAAGGAACACCGAUAGCGUAGGCAGGUUACUGGGACAGUUCUGACACUAAGGCACGAAAGCGUAGGGAGCAAACGGGAUUAGAUACCCGCGUAU